rnacentral:tRNA from 1 species
GGUCGAUUAGCUUAGUCGGUAGAGCGUGGUACUAAUACCCGGGCUUGCUGCCUGGGUAGUACAUGCCAAGGUCAUGGGUUCGAUCCCCAUAUUGACCA